GGCGCGAUAGCUCAGCUGGGAGAGCAGCAGACUGAAGAGAUUCGGUAUCUGAAGGUCCCGUGUUCAAUCCACGGUCGUGCCA